rnacentral:rRNA from 1 species
GACGAACGCUGGCGGCGUGCUUAACACAUGCCAGUCGAACGGAAAGGCCCUGCUUUUGUGGGAUGCUCGAGUGGCGAAAGGGUGAGUAACACGUGAGUAACCUGCCCUUGACUUUGGGAUAAAUUCAGGAAACUGGGGCUAAUACCGGAUAGGAGCUCCUGCUGCAUGGUGGGGGUUGGAAAGUUUCGGCGGUUGGGGAUGGACUCGCGGCUUAUCAGCUUGUUGGUGGGGUAGUGGGUUACCAAGGCUUUGACGGGUAGCCGGCCUGCGAGGGUGACUGGCCACAUUGGGACUGAGAUACGGCCCAGAGUCCUACGUGAGGCAGCAGUGGGGAAUAUUGCACAAUGGGCGGAAGCCGGAUGCAGCAACGCCGCGUGCGGGAUGACGGCCUGCGGGUUGUAAACCGCGUUCGCCUGUGACGAAGCGUGAGUGACGGUAAUGGGUAAAGAAGCACCGGCUAACUACGUG